GUAGGUGGCAAGCGCUGUCCGGAAUUAUUGGGCGUAAAGCGCGCGCAGGCGGUUCUUUAAGUCUGAUGUGAAAGCCCACGGCUCAACCGUGGAGGGUCAUUGGAAACUGGAGAACUUGAGUACAGAAGAGGGAAGCGGAAUUCCACGUGUAGCGGUGAAAUGCGUAGAGAUGUGGAGGAACACCAGUGGCGAAGGCGGCUUUCUGGUCUGUAACUGACGCUGAGGCGCGAAAGCGUGGGGAGCAAACAGGAUUAGAUACCCUGGUAGUCCACGCCGUAAACGAUGAGUGCUAAGUGUUAGGGGGGUUUCCGCCCCCCUUAGUGCUGCAGCUAACGCAUUAAGCACUCCGCCUGGGAGUACGGCCGCAAGGCUG
rnacentral:rRNA from 1 species